UUGCUGGGUCCUACUACCAGUUUGUUGGCAUUUGACACGUAAGCAUCGACUAGCUGUUGAAAGUUUGGAAGAGUAGGUGAAGAUCUUGCGGCAGCUUGAAAAACCCAUUUGAGAAGGAAAAUCUACCGAUUGGGAGAGGAGAAAACGGAUGAAGUGAUGACAACAGGGGAUGCGAUGGCGCCAUCAACAACUAUACCGUUCGACAAUCUUCCUAUUCUUUCUGCAUUGCUAGCUGGUUUUCUGGCUCAAUUCCUCAAAAUCUUCACUAGCUGGUAUAAGGAGAAGAGACGGACAUCUAAAAAGCUGUUUGAUUCUGGCGGAAUGCCUUCAUCAUAUUCGGCAGCUGUGACAGCUCUUGCUACUGCUAUUGGGUUUCAAGAUGGGAUGGGAGGAUCUUUAUUUCCCCUUGCCGUGGUUUUUGCAGCUGUUGUUAUGUAUGACGCCUCUGGAGUUAGACUUCAUGCAGGAAUGCAAGCUGAAUUGCUAAACCAAAUAGUAUGCGAGCUACCACCACAGCACCAGUUAUCCAACAUCAGACCUCCACGUGACUCGCUUGGUCAUACUCCUUGUCAGGUGAUUGCAGGUGCCAUCUUGGGAUGUAUAGUGUCCUAUAUCAUGAGAAGGUCUGCUUAGAUAUUAUUUUCGUUUGAUCUCCUUUUAAACCUCUCUUACAAGCUGUCAAAUGUCUGCCUUCGUCCAAUUCUGGAUUGCCUUGUGCAAGGUAGAAAUUGUCGUCGAAAAGUCGGCUUGUCAAGAAAAAAAAAGAUAGAGACGUAUGGAAUCAAAGGGAUUUCCAACUUGUAUAUUCCUCCAAAAAUGGCAGUUUCGUGUGAGCACAACACUUUUGACUCUACUGCAGGUUUGUUUUUUGACCUAAACUUCCAUUUUGACAACAUAAUAGUGGUUGAGGUUGAUUAAGAUUUAUCGUUUAAGCAGGCAUUGUUCUUGUUCUGUUUCAAAUCUUAUCGGUGCAAGGUCGAGUAGUAUGUCUACUUGCUUAUCAAUAGCACCCAUAUGUACCUAAAUGGUACCCUCAUAACCUUGGGAUUUAUGACAGAAGUUUGAAUACCUUCUCUUCUUAUGCAAUCCAGCUUAGAAAAUGGUUGCUAAACUUUGUGAGAGGUGAUCAACAAAGUAUUAAUCCAUAAAAAAUAUCUUAAUAAGAUGUGAUAAAGAGAGUGAGAUAGAUGGAUAAGAUUUGGAUAAACUCGAUUUAUACAUGGUAAAGUGUGCAAUGAAUGUCUAGCAAUUUUAGUCAAUUCUUCUUCUUGUCACACCUUUACUACUAAUUUCUGCCUUUGUUGUUUUUAUCUUUAUCUUUUCUCUUUUCUUGGUACUUUUAU